CGGCGCCGGCGUCACGGCGUCACGGCGCCGGCGUCACGGCGUCACGGCGCCGGCGUGCAUGGCAGUCUGGGGAGUUGCGUUCUCCUCAGCACAGACUGGGAGCCGCUGCGAGGUCGGAGCUGCAUUCUCUUCAGCACAGACCCGGCGCGGGCACCGAGAGGACAGACGAGCGUUCUCAGCCCAGAACUUCGGGGCACCGCCUCGCUUUGGGACAACUCCGGGCCGCGUCCACGGUUUUUCAGGACAACCAGGAGGGGGUGCGCGUCCAUCAAGAAACUGAGAGCAAGAGCAUCUGUUCUGAGCCCUGGUGCCACCAGAGUGCGUGAGAAACCACCCCAACCAACUUCCCUUUGAGGUGCCAGAAGCAGCAAGGAGCUUUAUCUUCCUCCCGGCAGCGCAAGGGUCAUGUCAUCUUGGUGUUGUUCAUUGAUUCCACUUGUGCGGGGCUCCAUGGCAGUCUCCAAUCUUCAAUCUAUGAAAGCACAGAUUCCUGAAAGGAUGGCCUCACAUGACCAGGAGUGGCUCUCUACAUCCCUGCUCCUGAGUAACAAGCUAACUGGAGUCUCCAUCAACUGCCCCAACAUAGACACACCUCCAAUUACCCAACUGAACUUCAUGACGGAUUAGCCACUCAAUCAUGCCCCUGACCCAGCCUCCAUGAACAUUGGAAGGCCAUCAGUGAAUUACGAAAAGAGGAGGAGGUGAGGAGGCACCUGCGCUGGGCUACAGAUCUAUGUAGUUCAGCAAUCUCCAGCCCCUAGUACUCAAGAAGCUGUAAGCCACCACUCUGUAAGACAGAAUGGAAGCACGUGAUACCACAUUUCUAUCUGCUGUAGAGACUCUUCCCAGUGUCUCAAAAUAUUUUAGCAUCUUUCAGUAAAAAUCUUCAAGUUUGUCAGGUAUUGAUCAAAAAAGGCAGCAACCUGUUUAAAGCUCCCUUGAACCCUCUAUUUUAAUGUGCCUUUGUAAAUUCCCAACAUGUUGUGUUCAUCUUUGUAAUUUAUUAAACUUGUCAUAAACUCCAA